rnacentral:rRNA from 1 species
UGGGGAAUUUUGCGCAAUGGGCGCAAGCCUGACGCAGCAACGCCGCGUGAGUGAGGACGCCUUUCGAGGUGUAAAGCUCAGUCAGAGGGGACGACGGCCGAGCGGUGAAGAGCCGGUCGGGGGGACGGUACCCUCGGAGGAAGCCCCGGCUAACUCCGUGCCAGCAGCCGCGGUAAGACGGAGGGGGCGAGCGUUGUUCGGAAUUACUGGGCGUAAAGCGUACGUAGGCGGUUCGCUAAGUGCGGAGUGAAAACCCCCGGCUCAACUGGGGAAGGGCUUGGCAGACUGGCGAGCUGGAGUGCCGGAGGGGGAUGCGGAAUUCCUGGUGGAGCGGUGAAAUGCGUAGAGAUCAGGAAGAACGCCGGUGGCGCAGGUGGCAUCCUGGACGGACACUGACGCUGAGGUACGACAGCGUGGGGAGCGAACGGGAUUAGAUACCCCGGUAGUCCACGCCGUAAACGAUGGGCACUAGGUGUGGGGCCCGCGAGGGGGUCCGUGCCGGAGCUAACGCAGUAAGUGCCCCGCCUGGGGAGUACGGUCGCAAGGCUG